CCUACGGGCGGCAGCAGUAGGGAAUCUUUCACAAUGGGCGAAAGCCUGAUGGAGCAACGCCGCGUGCAGGAUGAAGGCCUUCGGGUUGUAAACUGCUUUUAUAAGCGAGAAAUAUGAUGGUAACUUAUGAAUAAGGAUCGGCUAACUACGUGCCAGCAGCCGCGGUCAUACGUAGGAUCCGAGCAUUAUCCGGAGUGACUGGGUGUAAAGAGUUGCGUAGGUGGCAUAAUAAGUAGAUAGUGAAAUCUGGUGGCUCAACCAUUCAGACUAUUAGCGAAACUGUUAAGCUCGAGACCGUUAGGGGUAACUGGAAUUUCUGGUGUAGGAGUGAAAUCCGUAGAUAUUAGAAGGAACACCAAUAGCGUAGGCAGGUUGCUGGGACGGUUCUGACACUAAGGCACGAAAGCGUAGGGAGCAAACGGGAUUAGAUACCCCAGUAGUC
rnacentral:rRNA from 1 species